rnacentral:lncRNA from 1 species
CUAUGUACUCUUGACUAAAUUUAUUAACAUUCCACAACCUAAGCCUUUAGAUUUGAAAUGAAGCAUAAUAUUGUCUCCCUUAAUUAUAGCAAAACAACUAUUCAACCCUUACGACUUUGUAAAGUAUAACUCUUGUUUUCUAUGAUUAAUAUUGCUAACUUGCAAUACUUGCCUUAAUAAUCAUACAAGCACAACAUUUAUGCUCCCACUAUCAUGAUGAUAAGCAUAACACUUAUGCUCCUACUAGCUUUGACAUGUAGUCCUUUAUCUAAGCUUCUUAAACUUAUACACCUUUGCCUUAGGCAUAACACUUAUGCUCCUACUAGCUUUGACAUGUAGUCCUUUAUCUAAGCUUCUUAAACUUAUACACCUUUGCCUUAGAUAGCUCAUAUGUGUG